GCCCAACUUGACGCCCGGUCGUGGCGGCGGCGACCCGGGGAGCGUGAGUGCGCGGCGCGGGGCGCUCGGAGCCUUUUGUUGCCUUUUAGUUCAUUGAGUCCCUGAGCAGUGAGUGUCCUGAGCAUGUGCUUGAAGAGCUAGAAGAGUACAUAUAUUCUGUUCAGUGCUGAAUAGGCCCAGAGAGAUGGGCCUUAUUCCAUCUCCCACUCAGACAAGACCUGGACUCAAAAUAGUUAAGACUAACCCAAAGGAAUGAGAAUGAUAUUUCAGCGGGUGCCUGUGUGAGCCACAGCCUGGCCUGGUGGCUGGUGACAGGACCGUAUCUGCAUGCUGAAGAAGAUGGGUGAGGCCGUGGCCAGGGUUGCGAGGAAGGUCAACGAGACGGUGGAGAAUGGCUCAGACA